CUGCCUGUGGCCUAGUGGCCAAGGUUUCAGUCUCAGAGACAUGGGGUUCUAGGUUCAAGCCCAGGUAGGAACA
rnacentral:tRNA from 1 species